rnacentral:rRNA from 1 species
AGAGUUUGAUCAUGGCUCAGAUUGAACGCUGGCGGCAUGCCUUACACAUGCAAGUCGAACGGCAGCGCGGGAGCAAUCCUGGCGGCGAGUGGCGAACGGGUGAGUAAUACAUCGGAACGUGCCCAAUCGUGGGGGAUAACGCAGCGAAAGCUGUGCUAAUACCGCAUACGAUCUACGGAUGAAAGCAGGGGACCGCAAGGCCUUGCGCGAAUGGAGCGGCCGAUGGCAGAUUAGGUAGUUGGUGGGGUAAAGGCUCACCAAGCCAACGAUCUGUAGCUGGUCUGAGAGGACGACCAGCCACACUGGGACUGAGACACGGCCCAGACUCCUACGGGAGGCAGCAGUGGGGAAUUUUGGACAAUGGGCGCAAGCCUGAUCCAGCCAUUCCGCGUGCAGGAUGAAGGCCCUCGGGUUGUAAACUGCUUUUGUACGGAACGAAAAGGCCUGAGUUAAUACCUCGGGCUCAUGACGGUACCGUAAGAAUAAGCACCGGCUAACUACGUGCCAGCAGCCGCGGUAAUACGUAGGGUGCAAGCGUUAAUCGGAAUUACUGGGCGUAAAGCGUGCGCAGGCGGUGAUGUAAGACAGGUGUGAAAUCCCCGGGCUUAACCUGGGAACUGCAUUUGUGACUGCAUCGCUGGAGUGCGGCAGAGGGGGAUGGAAUUCCGCGUGUAGCAGUGAAAUGCGUAGAUAUGCGGAG